rnacentral:misc_RNA from 1 species
UGGCUGCACUUCUUUGAGAGGAAACUGAUUUGCAUGCUGUUAUUAUUCAUUAAUUGUAAAUGACCAAGCUGAAAUUCGUCAGAAAUUCCAUUUGAUGAGAAAUCACCAAUGAUCUCUGCAAGAACAGAGUCCAUUCUCAAGCCUAUGAAAUCUAUUAGCAUCUCUCACCACAAACAACUUUCAGGAUUUUCGAUAAACCCUCGAUGAACUGGUGACAAAUGACACAAACUCUCAAGCUUUUGAAGACACGAAUCACCCUUCCCCUCUCUUUCCAGCCACCACAAACCAAUGCCAACCCAAUUGCCAACUUUUCACUGUGCACUCUUAAGCUCUCCUCCUUUGAUUCUUCUUCCACAUCA